rnacentral:rRNA from 1 species
UGCCAGACUCCUACGGGAGGCAGCAGUGAGGAAUAUUGGUCAAUGGCCGAGAGGCUGAACCAGCCAAGUCGCGUGAGGGAUGACGGCCCUACGGGUUGUAAACCUCUUUUGUCGGGGAGCAAAGAGAGUCACGUGUGGCUCAUUGAGAGUACCCGAAGAAAAAGCAUCGGCUAACUCCGUGCCAGCAGCCGCGGUAAUACGGAGGAUGCGAGCGUUAUCCGGAUUUAUUGGGUUUAAAGGGUGCGCAGGCGGAGGUGCAAGUCAGUGGUCAAAUUGCGGGGCUCAACCCCGUACUGCCGUUGAAACUGGCGUUCUUGAGUGGGCGAGAAGUAUGCGGAAUGCGUGGUGUAGCGGUGAAAUGCAUAGAUAUCACGCAGAACUCCGAUUGCGAAGGCAGCAUACCGGCGCCCUACUGACGCUGAGGCACGAAAGCGUGGGUAUCGAACAGGAUUAGAUACCCGCGUA